UGAAAGUUUUACAUACUUCAACUUUGCCUCUGGCCGAUCUGAGGAUGAUGACAUAGACGGCACGGCACCUCCCAACUCUGCCGAGAGUGUCAGGUCCAAGGACGAUGGGUUGAACAGUAGGGCAAAACGUGAGACAGCCCGUGAAGUAGGAGGUCGCUUUGUAAUGUCACACAUGUGGGAUGCAGAGGAUCCUCGGCUAUUGGUGUGAGGCCAAGUCUCUACAUGGCAGCAAAAGCAGAAGGAUAGUUACUUGUCUUCAUCACCCAAGGAAGAUAAGCCAGCAGUGAUGUUGGUAACCCUGUUUGUGAGCCCAGACCACGGGAAUAUUGUGCAGGAUGCCUUCCCCCUGAGCCCAACUUACUCUCGCCUCCUUGGGGUCCAGGUUCCUUUCUUCUACCUCCUCAACACUCAUGAUGCAGAAAAUAAGGCAAAAAAGAAUGUGACCCAGAAAGUUAUGAGGGAGUUUACAGGACUGGAGAGCUGUGACAAGGCCACCAAAGAUGCCAUGCUCAACUUCUCAUUU